rnacentral:tRNA from 1 species
CCGCCGGUGGCCAAGUUGGUUUAAGGCACUCGCCUUUUAAGCGAGGGAUGCGUGGGUUCGAGUCCCACCCGGCGGACCA